CCUGCACUGAGUCGCGCCAGGCAGUACAGAAUCCCGGGGGUCGGCCCUGCCUCCAUCCCCACCCACCUCGCUGCCUCCCGGGAACCUGCACAUUACUCGGUAGUUACUCCAGAAAAGAAAAAUUAGAAAGGCUGCCUGGGCCCGCAGUCCACAUGCGACUCAGAAAGACCUUAACUUGGCCCGCCUUCUGCUUUGCGCGCCGGAACGGCGGACGGUGGGCAUUCGAGUCACAUCUGCCCGCAUUUGGAGGAACAAAGUCCAGGGUCCUGGUGGGCAGGGAACAGACACGUAUGUGUUUCUGGGUUCUGGGGCUGCUAUUUACAAACAGAUCAAGAAAAUCUAGCUCUCUCCUCUGAACUGCCUCUGCUUCCAGAACAGGAAAACAACCAAGUUAGUGAAACAAUUCCAUAUGGGGUGGAGGUCGUGGAGCGAAAAGACUUGGGUCACACAGCCCAGGGUCGCAGCCUGCUCUAACAGGAAACUAUCCAAUCCGUGUGCCAUUGAGCAAACUGUGAGGUGCAAGAGGCAAGAAUUUUAGGGUUCUGAUCAUGGGUCUAUUCCUGGAACCUAGCGCAGUGCUCAGGGAAGCUGAUGAGCUUCGACCCAUGGCUUCUGAGGUGCCUUGCAAUGGGAGCUGGCGGCAGAGACCUUGGAGGACUACUUCCUGCCUGUGUCUUCCCCAUCUUGAUCUCCCAACCUUUUCCAUAAGGACGUGGAUAGGUUGUCACCAAACAGCAGGCUCUGGCUCCUGAAGAGCAAGGCAGGACAUGCUCCAGCAAUCACCAGAGGGGACAGGGCGCACUUGACUGGUGGAAGGCUGGAUCACCUUCCGAAACGCGGCAAUCGCUAUAAGUUUAAUUAGGUGACAUAUCCAAAACUGGUGCUACUUUGCUAGAGGAAGGGCAGUGGCAAGACAGCUGUGGUUGGUGUUCUACGGAAGUGGUCUCAUUUAGUUUCAAAUUUGUUUUUAAACACCUAAGGAACCGCACCUCGGGAAGUGCGCCCAGGCCGCCUGUCUGGCUGUGGCGUGCGCUAUCCUUGCAGGCCCCAGGCGUCCGCACCCGUGGGCUGGGGCACCUGGCCAACAAGACCCUCAGUCCGCAGCAGGG
rnacentral:lncRNA from 1 species